rnacentral:rRNA from 1 species
UAGGGAAUCUUCCGCAAUGGGCGAAAGCCUGACGGAGCAACGCCGCGUGAGUGAUGAAGGUCUUCGGAUCGUAAAACUCUUUUAUUAGGGAAGAACAAAUGUGUAAGUAACUAUGCACGUCUUGACGGUACCUAAUCAGAAAGCCACGGCUAACUACGUGCCAGCAGCCGCGGUAAUACGUAGGUGGCAAGCGUUAUCCGGAAGUAUUGGGCGUAAAGCGCGCGUAGGCGGUUUUUUAAGUCUGAUGUGAAAGCCCACGGCUCAACCGUGGAGGGUCAUUGGAAACUGGAAAACUUGAGUGCAGAAGAGGAAAGUGGAAUUCCAUGUGUAGCAGUGAAAUGCGCAGAGAUAUGGAGGAACACCAGUGGCGAAGGCGACUUUCUGGUCUGUAACUGACGCUGAUGUGCGAAAGCGUGGGGAUCAAACAGG